ACGGGUGAGUAACACGUGGGUGAUCUGCCCUGCACUUCGGGAUAAGCCUGGGAAACUGGGUCUAAUACCGGAUAGGAGCCGUUUUUAGUGUGAUGGUUGGAAAGUUUUUUCGGUGUAGGAUGAGCUCGCGGCCUAUCAGCUUGUUGGUGGGGUAAUGGCCUACCAAGGCGGCGACGGGUAGCCGGCCUGAGAGGGUGGACGGCCACAUUGGGACUGAGAUACGGCCCAG
rnacentral:rRNA from 1 species